UGAUGCCGAGCCGUUUUAGGUGAAGUGAGUGAUCCCAUGCUGCCGAGAAAAGCCUCUAGCGAGUGUACUGGCGGCCCGUACCCCAAACCGACUCAGGUGGUCAGGUAGAGAAUACCAAGGCGAUCGGGUGAACUGUGGUUAAGGAACUCGGCAAAUUGCCCCCGUAACUUUGGGAGAAGGGGGACCACGUCUGGUGAGGACACGUGCUGUCUGAGCUGGGGGUGGUCGCAGAGGCCAGGGGGAAGCGACUGUUUACUAAAAACACAGGUCCGUGCUAAGUCGUAAGACGCUGUAUACGGACUGACGCCUGCCCGGUGCCGGAACGUUAAGAGGACCGGUUAGAGGGACUUGUUUCCUCGAAGCUGAGAAUCUAAGCGCCGGUAAACGGCGGUGGUAACUAUAACCAUCCUAAGGUAGCGAAAUUCCUUGUCGGGUAAGUUCCGACCUGCACGAAUGGCGUAACGACUUCCCCGCUGUCUCAACCACAGGCCCGGCGAAAUUGCAGUACGAGUAAAGAUGCUCGUUUCGCGCAGCAGGACGGAAAGACCCCGGGACCUUCACUAUAGCUUGGCAUUGGCGUUUGGAGCGUCUUGUGUAGGAUAGGUGGGAGACUGUGAAGCCGGCACGCCAGUGUCGGUGGAGUCAUUGGUGAAAUACCACUCUGGUCGUUUUGAGCGUCUAACCCGCACCCAUGGAUCUGGGUGGGGGACAGUGCCUGGUGGGUAGUUUAACUGGGGCGGUUGCCUCCCAAAGAGUAACGGAGGCGCCCAAAGGUUCCCUCAGCCUGGUUGGCAAUCAGGUGGCGAGUGCAAGGGCACAAGGGAGCUUGACUGUGAGACAGACAUGUCGAGCAGGUGCGAAAGCAGGGCCUAGUGAUCCGGCACCGACGUGUGGAAGUGGUGUCGCUCAACGGCUAAAAGGUACCCCGGGGAUAACAGGCUGAUCUUCCCCAAGAGUCCAUAUCGACGGGAUGGUUUGGCACCUCGAUGUCGGCUCGUCGCAUCCUGGGGCUGGAGUAGGUCCCAAGGGUUGGGCUGUUCGCCCAUUAAAGCGGCACGCGAGCUGGGUUUAGAACGUCGCGAGACAGUUCGGUCCCUAUCCGCUGCGCGCGUAGGAGAAUUGAGAGGAUCUGUCCCUAGUACGAGAGGACCGGGACGGACGAACCUCUGGUGUGCCAGUUGUCCCGCCAGGGGCACGGCUGGUUGGCUACGUUCGGCAGGGAUAACCGCUGAAAGCAUCUAAGCGGGAAGCCUGCCUCAAGAUGAGUUCUCCCAACCCCAUGUGGGUUGUAAGGCCCCCAGCUAGACCACUGGGUUGAUAGGCCAGAGAUGGAAGCGCGGUAACGUGUGGAGUCGACUGGUACUAAUAGGCCGAGUGGCUUGAACACACA
rnacentral:rRNA from 1 species